rnacentral:rRNA from 1 species
AUGAACGCUGGCGGCGUGCCUAACACAUGCAAGUCGAACGGAGUCCAGCCUUUAAGACCUUCGGGUCAAAGAGGGGAAGACUGAGUGGCGGACGGGUGAGUAACACGUGGGCAACCUGGCUCAUAGAGGGGGAUAACAGAGAGAAAUUUCUGCUAAUACCGCAUAAGCACACACUGCCGCAUGGCAGAGGGUGAAAAGAGAAUCGCUAUGAGAUGGACCCGCGUCUGAUUAGCCAGUUGGCAGGGUAAGAGCCUACCAAAGCGACGAUCAGUAGCCGAUCUGAGAGGAUGAACGGCCACAUUGGGACUGAGACACGGCCCAAACUCCUACGGGAAGCAGCAGUGGGGGAUAUUGCACAAUGGGGGGAACCCUGAUGCAGCGACGCCGCGUGAGUGAAGAAGUAUUUCGGUAUGUAAAGCUCUAUCAGCAGGGAAGAUAAUGACAGUACCUGAAUAAGAAGCCCCGGCUAACUACGUG